rnacentral:rRNA from 1 species
GACGGAGGGUGCAAGCGUUGUUCGGAUUGGCUGGGCGUAAAGGGCGUGUAGGCGGUUGGUCAAGUCGGGUGUGAAAGCCCGGAGCUCAGCUCCGGAAGUGCAUCCGAAACUAGCCAGCUAGAGCGCGAUAGAGGAGGGUGGAAUUCCUGGUGUAGCGGUGAAAUGCGUAGAUAUCAGGAGGAACACCGGCGGCGAAGGCGGCCCUCUGGAUCGUUGCUGACGCUGAGACGCGAAGGCGUGGGGAG